rnacentral:rRNA from 1 species
GACGAACGCUGGCGGCGUGCCUAAUACAUGCAAGUAGAACGCUGAAGGAGGAGCUUGCUUCUCCGGAUGAGUUGCGAACGGGUGAGUAACGCGUAGGUAACCUGCCUGGUAGCGGGGGAUAACUAUUGGAAACGAUAGCUAAUACCGCAUAAGAGUAGAUGUCGCAUGACAUUUGCUUAAAAGGUGCAACUGCACCACUACCAGAUGGACCUGCGUUGUAUUAGCUAGUUGGUGAGGUAACGGCUCACCAAGGCAACGAUACAUAGCCGACCUGAGAGGGUGAUCGGCCACACUGGGACUGAGACACGGCCCAGACUCCUACGGGAGGCAGCAGUAGGGAAUCUUCCGCAAUGGGCGAAAGCCUGACGGAGCAACGCCGCGUGAGUGAUGAAGGUCUUCGGAUCGUAAAACUCUGUUAUUAGGGAAGAACAAAUGUGUAAGUAACUAUGCACGUCUUGACGGUACCUAAUCAGAAAGCCACGGCUAACUACGUG